UACGAGGGGUGCAAACGUUAUUCGGAAUAACUGGGCGUAAAGGGUGCGUAGACGGUUUGUUAAGCUUGUUGUUAAAUUUCCUGGCCUAACUGGGAGCAUGCAAUGAGAACUGGCAUACUAGAGGAUGAGAGAGAAGAGUGGAAUUUCCGGAGUAGCGGUAAAAUGCGUAGAUCUCGGAAGGAACAUCGAUGGCGAAGGCAGCUCUUUGGCUCAUUCCUGACGUUGAGGCACGAAAGCGUGGGGAGCAAACAGG
rnacentral:rRNA from 1 species